AUCCUUGUGCAUUACCUCCAGCAGGGUAUGAGAGUUCCAGUUGCCCUACAUCCUUGCCAACAUUGGUAUCACAAGUUGGUGUUUGUUUUUUUUUUAGAUGUUCUAACCAAUGUAUAAUGAUAUGUCAUUGUAUUUGUCCGUUUUCACACUGCUGAUAAAGACAUACCCCAGACUGGGUAAUUUAUAAAGAAAAAGAGGUUUAAUGGACUCACAGUUCCACGUGGCUGAAGAGGCCUCACAGUCAUGGCGGAAAGCAAAAGCUCUCUCCUUUCAGGUACUCCACCAUGUGAAAUGUAACUACCUUGAUCUCCCUGCUCCCUUUUCCUUAAUUCAGAGAGACUCCUAGACUCCAUGUGGCUUCUUCUGCCUGCAUCAUGGCCUGGAAACCGUCCACAUGAUAGCCUAAAUCAAUCAUAGGACUCACCAGAUUCAGUGAGUACAUGUGCAGGUUCAUUAUCAGCAUGUAUUGCAUGAUGCUGAGAUUUGGAGUACAAAUGAUCUCAUCACCCAGGGUCUUGCUCUGUCACCCAGCCUGGAGUGCAAUGGCGUGAUCCGCUCACAGCGACCUCUGCCUCCUGGGUUCAGGCAAUUCUCCUGCCUCAGCCUCUUGAGUACCUAGGAUUACAGGCGCACACCACCACGACCGAAAAGUGACCUGGAAGGAACAGGCGUAAACAUGGAGGAUCCAGUUGGGCUUUGCAUUUGCAUCCAGGUGGUCGCAUUUUAAAGAACUGAACCGAUGCCAAAUACAGACAGCAAUUUUUAUGGGAGAGACAAACAGAGAGAAGAAAAGGAAAACCAAAAGACAAUAAAAAGACGGGAUACAUCAGAGGAUAAAAGGAGCUCAUUUCCUGUAGAGGAACAAACUCCUUUCCUGUCUUCCUGUCUCACUCCCCCAACCAGGACAGCUCCUCUAUCUACAGCAGGCCCUAAGUCACACCUCCAUUGACCUAAUAAAAACUGGUUCCUAUCA